ACUAUUGAACAUUUUUCUCCUAGUUGUUUUUCUUACAAAAAACAUUAUUUUCUUUUACUUCCUAUUUUGAAGCCUAAAUAUUUAGUAGAGCUCACUCAUAAACCAGAUGGGUGAAAGAAAAACGAUCUCGCCUUUUCUGGCCACAAUACUGACGCAUCAGCACGGCAAAUAUACCUCUAUUCUUAUUAAAUGUAUGACAUAAUUGUACAUUUCCUAAUGUGAAAUGCAUAUAGCAGAGAACGUGCCCCUCAUAUUCAAAGCCUUCGUCCUGAUUUCUGCAGAUAGACAUGAACAUGGGCAGGAUGUUUAUACAGCAGAAUGUAAACAUUUUCGCUGGCCUUCUUUAAAUAAAAAAUCAAGUUAAGCUCCGUUAGAUCAGCUAAUGCUCAAUCUGAUGUGCCUGCCCGCACUGUCUUGUCUAGAUGCUGGACGUUUUUGCGCAUGGAUAUUGUUUGUAUGAUGAAGUCAUAAUAUUUACGCAGAGACGCAGGAGAAGUGUGGUGGAAAGUCUGCCGAACUGUGAGUGCACAAGCUGGACGAGGACUGGAGAUCGACUCCUACGGACAGAUUUACAUCGAAGGAUCCAGGGAUGAAGGAAGACUCAGUCUCAGAGUGGGGGCCUGUUUCAUGUCCCACCGUGCACCCUGCACACCUCCUGGGCUCCCUCACAGUGUGUCUGAUGCAGACAGAGACGUCAAGAACGAGCUGAAGCAGAAACCACAGAGAAGAACUCCAAAGAGAGAGGCAGGGCAGACUUGGGUCCGAGUCAGACUCAGACCCCUCUGCUGCAGUGUGAACAGGCGAAGAAGCUGAUGACGUAGUAAGGACUGUUUAAAAGUCAGCAGAGAGCAAAGGCUGCAGUAGGCCCGUGUGCGGCUUUGGCCACAGGAAGCCGUGAAUAUUUGGGAGAAUGGAAGAUGUCUUAUGGAGGAGACAUACUGCCCCCCCCCCCCUCCCCCUCCCAGACCCCACCCACUCACCACCCCAUCUGACACCUGACCCCUUCGUGUGUUUAUAUCAGAGCGUGGAAGUGAGAAAUAGUGAUGAGUCACUCUGACUGAGUGUUUACACUCCGGAGUCACGCAAGGAAGGAAAUCAGCCACGGUCUGCUAAAAGUGGCGAGGUGAGAGAGAAUAGCCGAGUCUUCCAGAGCUGCACUGAUUUACCUCUCACUGAAUUUAUUUCACCUCAUCUCAGCUGCAAAAUACUUUUGACCAGCAGAAAAUGUCAACAUUCAGAGCGCUAUUUCGAGGAAUAGACAACGCUCACAGCAGCAAGGACAAAAACACGAGGCAGUUAAAGACGAUAACCUAACUUACAUCUGAGUGUGUCUGUUUGUACAUAUUGUGUAUGUGUGUGAGUUUAGUCUGCUGCUGCCACACUGAUUAUUUUAAAAGAGAAAAAAACAGAUUUUAAGAGCAUCUUAAGUCCACAUAAAAAUAUUAAUAAAAUAAUCUGCGUUUAAGAAUUGAACACACCACUGUCAUAGAAUGAAAGCUUUUAUUGCCACAUAAUAAUGUUUCUCGUCAGCCGGAUGACUUAUCACUGCAUAACUUCACUUUGAAUACUUUGGAGACCAGCAGCAAUGAUAUGUACUUAUGAUGAGUGCUAAGCAGCAUUGAGCAUUUCUGCACCGUUCGAAAAGAGUUCAACAAAAACAUUCAAAGUUUCCAACGUGUUCUUACUAUCCCUGAUAUACUGCACAUAUCACGAUUAAACUUGAAUUUAUGUUCAUCCACAAUUUACAUUUCUAGUUCAGAUUUUCUACAAAAGAAAGAUGUCAAAAAUAUUAUGAAGCCACUUCAUGCCCUUACUUGAUUUCAUUCAUUUCUUUUGUGUCUAUCAGGUUAUUUUCCAGUUUGCACAAAUAAAAAAUAACAUUUAUGUAAUUAUCCUUACGGUGUUUGACAAAGAGAUUUCACAAAAAAUACAAACACAUACUUUUGUACAGUCGAAAAUCACUAAAAAACUGUAAUAGCUCAGAUUUUAUUCAGACGAGAAGUUGGUAUCAAGAACU